GAAAGGAAAACCUGUGUCAACACUUGAAAAACAUUGAAAUGUUCUUCCUAUGAGGAAUGGUGUGCAUUAAGUCCUUAUGAGGAGGCCAUCUUGGGUGGAUUCACAAUGCAUUUGCCUUCACCUACCAGCACAUGCAAAGGAGCUCUCAAGAGGAGCUCUCAUCUGGUCACAAGUAUUCCACUCUGUAUGUUCAAAAAUAUCCAGAUCACUCUAGGAGCAUCACCUGGUUAGUGCUUAUGAAAAAAAAUGCAUAUGCACAGUUGUAUGCUUAUUUUUUUGUAGGUAAUAGAACUGGUUAUUUCUCUUCUGGGUGAAAUUCCACUCUCUGGAAUUUUUCUUUAUUCUGGACAUAGUAAGAAACCAGCCCUUUCAAAAGUUUCUGGAUAUUCCAGAAAUAUAUGGAUCAGAAGCAAUUGCUGCAGUCAUUAGUGCGGUGUUUUAAUGAUCUGAAAGUGAAGGAGAAGAACAAGAUAGUUUCCGGAGCAAAGGUAAUGGGGAAAAAAAAUGAAACAGGAAGCAUGGAGGGACACUUUACGGCCUCUCCCCUCUUAUAUUACAGAUGGCAUUCAAGGUGGGGUAUCCAGGCUUACACCUCCAGGCUGGAAGUUUCUUCUAAGCUAGAUGACGCUGUGGCCUGCUUGGAAAGGUGAGUCAUGGACCUGUUGGAGCACAUCUAGAGGAGGGCCACAAAAAUGAUCCAAGGAAUGGAGCACUUCUCCAAUGAAGGCAGGUUGAAGGAGCUGGUCUUGUACAGCCUGGAGAAGAGAAGGCUAAGGGGAGACCUGAGAGCAGCUUUUUGGUGUCUAAAUGGGUACUGUAAGAAAGAAGAGGACAGACUCUUUAACAGGCUCUGUUGUGAUAGGACAAAGGAAAAUGAUUUCAAGCUAAAAGAGAUUUAGAUUGGACAUAAGGAAGAAGUUUCUUACAAUAAUGUUGGUAAAGCACUGGAAUGGGUUGCCCAGAGAGGUGGUGGAUACUCUGUCAUCUUGGAGUCCCUCUAGGUCAGGCUGGAAGAAGCUCUGAGCAACUUGAUCUAGCUAUAAGUGUCCCUGUUCAUUGCAGGGGAGUUGAACUGGAUGGCCUUUAAGGGUCCCCUCCAACUCAAAUGAUUCUGUGAUUCUAUGACUUCCUCAUCCAGGGGUUGGAGGAGACAACAAGGAGAGGUGCUCUGCUGGGAGAAACACUACCUGACUGAAUCAUUUACCUCAGACACGAGACCCAUUUUUGUUUGAUUGAGGACUUCGUUUUAAGUACUUUUACUCAUAGUACUUAUUUCCUGACUCUGUGAUAACUUUCUAAAAAUGUUUUGCUGCUCUGUGACACAAAACAACUUCUCGUCUGAAAAUCCUCUGCUUCAGUAGCGUGUAUGCGUUUUGCUUUGUUUUGUUUCGUUUCAGAUAUGAAUAAAUAAUGUCUAUUUUAUUCAAUUUAAUUGAAUAUUAGAUUGAAAUGUUAACUAUUAUAUCUGCAAAAACAACGACAACAACAAAAACAGCAUAGAUACAAAUUUGGAGAUGAUUUCUGAUUUUUUUUUUUUCAGAAUUUUGUCCCCACCAGGGAGACUGAAAGUUUAUAAUCAUUUUCUACUCCAUUUAUCUGAUAUAUGCUACUUGCCUGUGUAUAAAAGUGGCCAGAAUCUAAAGAGAUAAAAACUGUUAAGAAGGGGAAAAAAAAGUUUAAUUUUUAAAAUCAUUUAUCUAUAUCUGGCUUUUUUAAAAAUCUUAUUUUAUUUUACCAAUUCUAUUGUAUUUUAUUGUUAUUUUAUUUUAUUUUAUUUUUUCUUGCCAAUGGU
rnacentral:lncRNA from 7 species